rnacentral:rRNA from 1 species
UUAGGAAUUUUGCGCAAUGGGCGAAAGCCUGACGCAGCAACGCCGCGUGAGUGAUGAAGGCCUUCGGGUUGUAAAACUCUUUUAGCAGGGGCGAAAAAAAUGACGGUACCUGCAGAAAAAGCACCGGCUAACUCUGUGCCAGCAGCCGCGGUAAUACAGAGGGUGCAAGCGUUAUUCGGAGUUACUGGGCGUAAAGAGCGCGUAGGUUGUUUGGUAAGUUUGAUGUGAAAUCCCUGGACUCAAUUCAGGAAGUGCAUCGAAUACUACUAGACUAGAGUAUAGGAGGGGUAAGCGGAAUUCCUGGUGUAGAGGUGAAAUUCGUAGAUAUCAGGAGGAACAACAGUGGCGAAGGCGGCUUACUGGACUAUUACUGACACUGAGGCGCGAAAGCGUGGGGAGC